GAAUCUUUCGCAAUGGGCGCAAGCCUGACGGAGCGACGCCGCGUGGGGGAUGACUGGCUUCGGCCUGUAAACCCCUGUCAUUUGUGAGCAAGGUCCUCGGUCGAAUAAACCGCGGGCUUGAUAGUAGCAAAAGGGGCAGGGCCGGCUAACUCUGUGCCCGCCGCCGCGGUAAUACAGAGGUCCCAAGCGUUGUUCGGAUUCACUGGGCGUAAAGGGUGCGUAGGUGGCGAGGUAAGUUCGAUGUGAAAGCUCCGGGCUCAACCCGGAAAUGGCAUUGAAAACUAUCUGGCUAGAGGAUUGGAAGGGGGACUGGAAUUCUCGGUGUAGCAGUGAAAUGCGUAGAUAUCGAGAGGAACACCAGUGGCGAAGGCGAGUCCCUGGACAAUUCCUGACACUGAGGCACGAAAGCUAGGGGAGCAAACAGG
rnacentral:rRNA from 1 species